rnacentral:lncRNA from 1 species
UUUCACGAUACUAAAUAAAAACAAUAAUAAAAAGGAAGUGGACUAUUAUUUGUUUUGUUUUUUACAACAACUGGCCAAUCAAAACACUUACAUUACCGAAAUCCAAUUCUAAUUAAAUCGAGUGGUAGCGAUAGCUUAAUUUUUUAUUUUCAAAAAAAAAGGGGGGGGGGGUCCAUAAUAAACAACAAUCGGAAUGUUGUGAUUAAUGGGAGGGGAAAGCUCGGCAAGUUUGGAGGACCCUCUUCCGUAGUUGAAUAAACGAUCGUGAUCGAUGAUGGAAACAAAAAUUUUUUUUUUUGUUUUGUUUGCAUCCGUCAACAUUUUCGAUUUGUUGGCCAUCAAGUGAAUCAAUAAAACUAACCCCACCCCAUCGUUUAGUGGCCAGUUUUAUUUUUUUGCUGCAAAUAGAGAUAAGAGGAAAGUUGGGUCCUUUUCCUUUAUCGUUCACAAACAUUUUCCACGGCAACGUCAUUUGCAUUUCUAAGUCGCCCUUUCCGCAAUCUAUCACGAUUUUUUUUUGUCUUGUUUUCGCGGAAUUUUGAUCCCCCCCACUCAGACGGAGCGAGACUAUGCGCAGUAGCAGAUCGAUGGUUUCGCUUCAUCCCUUUUAUCAAUUAGCUUAUCUAGCGUUAAUUUCCAAAGUUGCAUAGGCAGCCAGUUGGUAGUGAAAAACUUUUUUCUUUUAUUUCGCCAUUCCCCUGCGUUUGACGUCUGUCGUCUAAUUAAAAGAAAACAAGCCCUUUUUUACAGCAAGGGCGUUCGUUACCAUACGAAAGAAUGGAUAAAAAUAAUUCGAUAUCGGAUCUUUCUUUUCUUAGUUUUUUUUUUUCUGGUUCCAAGAUUAGUUCAACUGAUACUGAAGUUCUUCCUUUCUUGUUAUUUACUCGGCUCCUGUCUGUCCCUCUGUUGGGGUUGUCAUAGUGGGCGGGUCCCGUCCCAACCUUUCAGUCGAUGUCGAGCAGUCACAGCGAACAGAGUCGUGUCCUCUCAAUUGGCCCCAAGUGUUUUUUCUUUUCUUUCUUUUUUUUUUGGCGUGAACAUGCGACUACCGUGUAAAAGUGACGUCAUUUCACUGUGUGUGUCAUACCUAACGAUCAGCUGAUAUCGUCAUCAUCCAGUGGUUUAGUUUUUUUUUUUCCCCUAUUCAAUCUGGAACAGACAACGGUUUGUUUGGCUGGGAAUUUCCUCGGCUCUGGCCCAUUGAAAAUGAAGAGCAAUCCGAUGACUUGGACACAAGUGUGAGCCGGGAAUUAUUAUUAUUAUUUUUUAACGUUCGUGUAUUUACGCGUGACGCAUCUCGUGGGGAAAACAAGAUUCAGCCCCCGUGUAUUAGUCGUCCACACCUGCCGGGACUCCUUCUCUGUGUGUGUGCGGUGUGUGUGUGUACUUUUUCCCGUGCGCUAUAUAAAACACCAAGUGGCCAUUACGAUCUCAGGGACAGUGCGCAUAAUUUAAUCGCUAGCCGAAAAUGACGGCACUAGGUCGGCUGUACCGUCGUCUGCGUGCACGCUUACGCAAUUCCAAUGGUUUAUUUCGCUGGCCGUGCCAUCAGAAAAGAUUAUUGUUAUUAUUGAACACAACACAGGCAGAGAGGGCGUAACAAUCGCAUAGACGAAAUAAAGAAAAGAAAAGAAAAUGGAACUAACGUCAUCAGUGUGUAGCGGUAAUUUCUGGAGUGUUUCUCCAGAGAGUGGUUUCAGUUGAUUCAAUCACACCCAGAGGUUGGAAGGUUUGAUUCUUUUUUUUUCUUUCUCCGCGUCAUCUCACAGGAUUUUUAUUUUGCCCUGCAGGUCUACACAAAACGUCACGAGACUUUGACACUAAACGAAAGAAAAGAUUGGAUAGCAAACUCGUUAUUUAUUUUUUUUAAGGAAAGAUAAAACUAACAAAA